CGGGCGACUUCCUCCUGCUGGCAGGCGGCUCCUCGAACAACGUCAACAGCUUCUGGCAGGCCCUUUGCGCCCCAGAUGGACCGCGGGCCUCAGCGGGGCCCGCGUUCUCCUCCAGUUCAGGUUUCCCUCCUUCUGCCCUUCCCCUAAGUGGAUCCCACUCUGGCUGCCGACUGUGUGAUGGCUGUGGCCACAGACAUACCUGUUCUGUCACAGCUGAUGUGACUCCGCCCACACGAUUUCACGUCUCAACCUUUAUUCAGCAUCUCCGUCUGUGACAUGAGAACCAGAGCAGCUUGUUAGCGGCUUCCCUGAUCCAACUCCUAAUUUACGAAAAAACAAAGUAAAAUAGUACAUGGAGCCACUUGGAUCCAAUCAUCAAAAUCUGCAGUGUGGGCUUCUUCACCAAGUAAACUGCCAGGAAGACAACAGACACGGGGAUUAAAGAUGAAACACUUAAGAGUCAUAAUAACUUCUUUGAAAUCAUCAUGAGGAGGGUGAUGUGAAAGAAGAAGCAUCUUUGAAAUCAAAAGAGAAAACAUGUCAAAGCCAUCCAUAAACUUAAAAGUAAUGGCAAGCAUGUAGUUUUACACACUACUAUGGGUUGAAUUGUGUCGUCCAGAAAGAACUGUUGAUGUGCUAGCCCUGGAUUCCCACGAAUGUCAUCUUAUUCGGAAAUAGGGUCUUUGCAGACGUUAUCAACCUAAGACUAACUUUCUUCUGAGACUCAGACAGAGAGGAAAAUUCCUUGCGAUGACAGAGGCAGAAUUUAUAGCAAUACUUCUACCAGCCAAGGAACACCAGGGGCUAGGAGAGAGGAAUGGGACAGACAACCCUGAAAACCUGCAGCAGAAACCAAACCCGCUGACACCUGGAUUGGGGCCCUUCUAACCUCCAGAGCUGUGAGAAGGCAAUUUUCUGUUGCUUUAAGCCAUCCAGUUCGUGCUAGUGUGUGAGGCCCCCCGGGAAACCAGUGUAGAUACAGAGGUUAACUCAACAACGACAUCAACAAAUGUGCAAUGAUUUAACAAAAACAUUUCUGUGCUGACGAUACCCUUCUUUGACACGUUAUUUUCAGCUGU